GAGAAUUCCGGGUAAGUGGUUCCUAUUAAUGUUUUAGGAAGGUGUUAGGCACCUAAAACAUCGGCUAACUUGCGGUUAUCCGGACUGUUUGAAAAUCGUCUUUAAUUAACUUUGAAAAGUGAUUGAUUUUUGGAAAGAAAGCAAUUUUAAAAAUAUUUUGGUGUUUAUACAAACCUAGUUUUUUAGCGACUUAACUAAGGAUUUUAACUAGGUUCGCAAGAAGCACGUAAACAAGUAAGCGAAAUGGAAAAGGGAAAUAGUAAAAGGGAGAAAUAGUGAUUUAGGCUCUUUAAGCCCAAACCGUCGCCCCUGUCCUAAUCUAGUUGGGUCUUUGACCCACAUUUUUUCACCUGUCCUAAUUCUAUGUUUCCAAGCCCUUUUUGGCUCAUUUUUCACUCCACCUGUAUUAAAUACAACCUUGGCUUCAUGGCCCAAAUGAAUGAAUAAAAUAAAUAAAGACAACAAUAAUUAAACGAAACGAAAUAAUAAAUGAUACUUUUGUCUCUUAGCCGCUUCAAGAAUGGGACUUUAACCCAUUUCUUCUUCUUUCGACUCCCUAUAUUCAUUGUGUCACGAGAUUGAUGUUGAACUUUCUCUAAGAGUUGACUCGAUGGAGAUGACGGGCCUCAAUAGCCAUUAAGAAAAUGUAGCGAGAAAUUGAAUCCAUUUUUGGAUUCAAAGCAAAUAGUACAUGUAGAGAAAAAGGGUAAGGAUUAGGAUCCAAUGACAAUAAAAGAAAACAAAGCUAUCGUUAUAAAGGAAUAAUGCAUAAAUAAAGAAGCGUCAUGUGGAUCACCAAAGUAGGAAAUAGGAAAUGAGGAAAUGACCAGGAAAACAACAUUAGCUAAAUAGAUGUUUGACAUGGUUUGAAAACUUUGAUGAUUUGAAAAAAUGUUGGACAAUAACUGAAGGGAAAAAUGCAAACAAAUGUUGUGUAGUAGAUCACUUGAUUUUCAACCUAAUAUGAAAUAAUUCUGCAGGCAUGGACACACCAGAAACUUCAAAGGCAGUCAAGCAAAUAUAACAUGUACAUAAAACAAUAAGUGAAAAUGAUUUGAGAUCAAUACUUUAUCAAAACAGGGGAAAACAUUCAAAUUUUUGAACAUGAGUAAACACUCUAUAAAUACAACAAGAUAUGAUGGAAUCUCGGGUUAAUUAACGAAAUAUCACCUAAGAGGGACAAAUCGUCCCAAAAACUAACGGCCUAGCUACUAAUUACCUUACGUUGAGAGCAAAACUAAACAGGAAGAUAGAUAAUCAAGUUAGAACACCAUAUACUAAACAGAGCAUCGAGACUAAAGCGGAGUAUCUAGCUAAAACUACCACGCGUCAAGACACGAUAUUCGAGUAUAAACAUGACAUAAUUUUUGAUGCUAAAAUGGUUUCCUAACUAAAACUAAACAUGAAUUUAGCGAUUGAACUCGAAUAACAAAUCAAAACAACAUUUGAUACUCAUGACAUCAAAUUAAUCAUGGACAGUGGCCUAAACAAUAGGAAAAACUUAAUUGAGAUAAUAAACCAAAAAUGAAAAGCGAAGUUUCAAUGAUAUAUGUGAUGAUUUGUACUACAAACUCACAGAUAAUCACCAACAUCUAUUAAGAGGUAGUAUAUUCAACGUAAUCGCAUUGAAAAUUUUGACAUGAACACUGAUUCAGCAAAUAGCAUAACAGUAGUCACAAACACAUCCUAGGGCCAUCAUAGCCAACUACAGCAGACAAUCCCAGCCUCAUUCAUGAUAAAUAGGUAAGUACUUUUACUAAGAAAGAAGGGAUGGAGCAGGAAACAACGGAAUUCAGAUGAUCUUUGGCUCAGGAUGAGUGAAAAGUUGAUCGAGUUUCAUAAAAGAGGCUUGUAACCUCUUAACCAUGAAUGUGUGAUCCUUCACACCCGUAGACAAGAACUUACCCGGACAUAAUUUCCAAACUCUGAGUAUGUUGUCACCCGACUUUGAAAGAAAACGAAGGUUACCCUCGGCAUGAGUUAAGAAAUAUCCCGGAGUUGAAGAUGAGACUUAGAACAUCCCAAAAUACCUACAUGCCUUCUAAUAGGGGUGUGGUUGGAUGGAGGUGGUAAUCAUACUUUAGUUCACGUCCAAAGAGUUUGACGUCCCUCUCUAGACUAGUCCCGUUUUGCUGCUAAGAAAGAGUUCCACAUUGUGCUGCGUCCUAUCUGAAGUCGUCCGCACCUGUGGUUUUGAUUUGAUAUUUUCAUCCUCUCAAAUGAUCUCGACAAUGCUUCAAGCAAAAAGUGUUAGUGCUAAACGUAAUUCACGAGAGCGGUAUGUAGUCUUUUACCAUAUCUUCACGUUAGUUGUGUCCUGAAAAGCGGGGUCAUCUCUUCAUGUACCUAUUUGGAAUGAAAUAACUGGCAGCAACAAACACAACAACCCUCUUGGUUGUUGUAUAAUUAUGACAUUGUCGGUUGAAUAUGUCUUCAAAAUGGGGUAGUCCUUUUGGACACCGGUGAUACUUUAUGCAGAACGGUCCAUACAAUCGUGUAAUGUUGUGCGGGUGUGGCAACCCUUUGGUUGCCUAUAUCACUUGUUGUAUGUGUAAUUAUAACCUCUCCGAUUAUCUGAUGAUCGAUUUAUAUAUUUUCCUUAAAUUGUCAAUCUUUGGAUAAUCUUGCGUAUUAUUUGAUGUUGGAUACGAGACGACUUAUAGAUAUCCUUUGAGUUGUUACCUUUUAGGUAAUCCUGCACAUUAUCCAACUUUAGAUAAGAGAUGACUUACAGAUAUCCUUCUAAUCGCUAGCUUUCAGGUGUUCCUGCACAUCAUCCGACCUUAGAUACAAUAUGACUUAUAGAUAAUCCCUCAAAUUGGUAGUCUUUGGGUAAUUUUGCAUAUAAUCAAUCUUGGAUAUGACACGGCUUAUAGAUAACCCUUGGACGUAUCAAUUUGAUAAUCUUGCAUAUUCUCCGGUAAGGAUUUAGUUGCAACUUAUGGAUAACCUUUGAACUAUCGACUUUUGGGCGAUCUUGCACACUAUCCGGUUAGGAUGUUGUUGUGGUUUACGAAUGACCUACAGGCUAUCAACUCAUAGGUGAUCUUGCACACUAUCCUAUUUCAAAUAAUAUGACUUAUAGAUGACCCUCAAAUUGUCAAUUUCCAUGAAACCUUAUAUAUCAUUCAUCCUUAGAUAGUGACUUAAAGGCAUCCCUUCAAAUAGUGUGCUCCUGAUAAAUUUUGAUACUGAUUCAUGAAAAGAUGAUGAUAUCCUCGAUGCCAGCAUUGUGUCUAGCGCGUCAACAGAUAUAUUGAAUGCUGAUGAUAUCUUCGACGCCAGUGUUGUGUCUAGUGUAUCAACAGAUAUUGAAUGAUGAUGAUAUCCUCAAUGCCAGAGUUGUCUAAAGUGUCAACAGAUAUUGAAUGAUGAUGAUAUCCUCGAUGCCAGUGUUGUGUCUAGCGCAUCAAUAUAUAUAUUGAAUGCUGAUGAUAUCCUCGACGCCAGCGUUGUGUCUAGUGCAUCAACAGAUAUAUGAAUAUCCUUAUUGGGCGAUGGUAUGAGAUGGCCCUCUCGGCAAUGAUAUGCAAUGGACCUUGCGGCAAUGAUAUGUGAUGACCCUUGUGACAAUGAUAGGCAAUGACCCUUGCGGCAAUGAUAUGUAAUGGCCCUUGCGGCAAUGAUAUGUAAUGGCCCUUGCAGAAAUGAUAUGCAAUGGCCCUUGCGGCAAUAAUAUGCAAUUUCCCUUGUGGCAAUGAUAUACAAUGGCCUUUAUGACAAUGAUAUGCAAUGGCCCUUGCGGCAAUGAUAUGCAAUGGCCCUCUUGGCAAAUUUUAAAAUAAUUUUACCUGACUUUAUUUGUCAGCGUCUUGCUUUCUACAUGUACCUGUACUCAAGGUAGACAAUUAGUAGACACAAAGUCACUUUUGCUAGCGACUAUUUUUAGGAAACUUCUAAAUACAAUAUUUGUAAAGAAGAUAAGACGCCUUUGUCUGUGUUCCAUGAUCUCAAGAAAUGAGGUGGACAAAUCAAAAGGUCCUCAAUAAAUGGGUAUUAAACCCAUUUUUAGGGCUACCCUAAAAUACCGUUCUUGAGCAUUGCUACUCUGUGUGGCUCCCAAUUUGCUGGAGAUUUUUUGAAAGAGACUCUCAUUUUUGUGUAUUGAUCCAUGCAUCCACAGAAAAAUGAUUAGUUUGAAUGAAAUUACUCCGUGUUGACCUCCUUCAAUCCUUGAUUUGCUCCUCGCCAUCUUUCAGGUGCUUCGUCAUACUGGGACCUCCACCCCUGACUCUCCAUCCCAAUUGAUGUCUAGGAAAAUACUAAUUAAAAGAUUUAUGAAGAUUUUUGAAAGUAGUCUUAAAUUUUAGAAAAUAGUUUCGAAAGCUUCUAUACAACUUUAGAAAAUCUCUGCCGGUCAUGUCAUGUGCUAGUCCAACGAUCAUCUUUCUCUUGAUUCUGACAAUGUCCGAUGUUUGACGGAGGAUUGCUAUGGAUCCAGCAUUAUCGAGGCUCUCUACCAGAAGUUUUAUCAAAGACGGAGAUUCAAUCUUCCUAUACUUUAUCAUAGGUGGUGAUUCUCCAAUCUCAACUUCGAUCUCUAGUGCUGGGGAAUUUGAAAUAUAUUUCAAUAUAUUAGUGGAAAUUUUGAGGACCUCAUUCAAAUUUCUACCCCAGUUUAAAGUAGUCUGAGAUGAUAUCAUCUUAAGUGGAUCUGAAGUCUUUUUGGUCUUCAUUCUCUUUGUUGGAUGUUGAUCUUCUCUUUUGAAUUUUUGAGAUUCCUUCUCGAAAAUUCUGCUCCAGUUUCCAUUUCUUGGGUUAUAUGACCGAGCCGUUUGGGCACCUACGUAUUCCGUUGAAGCAGAAAUUAGGUCAAACGUAGUUCAAGACUACACUAGGGAUAUAUAUAAAUUUUAGUGGGUUGACCGAAGCCGACAUAGGCCACCUACGUAUCUAUUUCUUGGGAAUUUAGGUCAUCACGUAGUUAAUACAUAAAAGGAAAGAAUAAAUUUUCCUAAGGGGUUGACCGAAGCCGACAUAGGCCUCCUACAUAUCUCGUUCUUGAGAAUUCAGGUCAAACGUAGUUCGUACAUAAAGGGAAGGGGUUCUAGAAAAUUACACAUCAUGAAAUUGAUACUAUUAUAAAGGCGAUUACAAAUUAACCAAGAAACAAAAACUAUAAUAUAUUUCAAGCACAAUAUCUCUUUACCACAUCAGAAUUGAUUGGUUUGGUCCACUCUUGACCAUCCAUAUCAGGUAGGAUUAGGGCUCCUCUAGGUUGGAAUUCUUUUGAUUUUCACAUUCCUCUAUACCUACUACUAACUGCUCCUCAUCAACUUUUCUGUUCAUCAUUAUUUCCUUUGCUUUGUUUAUGUAACCCUUGACAUGACAUGAUAUUGGUAGGUUUUUAAAUUAUUGCUACCAAAAUAAACCAUGCUAGAUAAUCAUAUUUUUUUUAAAAAAACUUCUUAAAUAAAGGGAGGCCUUUUGGAAAAUAAAAUAAACUAUGGCUCAUGACCCACACAAAUGUGGGCCCAUGCCUUUUUGAAAGUUGUAAAAUACGAAAUAAAAAUUUGAGACAUAAAAGGGUGGAUCACGGGGCCUCCUACGGAACAUCACCAAUUUUAAAAACUAUUAGUAAUUGCGCUUUUCAUCUACCACGAUGGGUGAUGGGUUAUGAGUGGAGUAGAGGUCUAGUUUUGCAAGGCCUCAUCUGAUGCAAUCUUGUUCACCCCACAGGACUUUGGGAAAUAAUCUGGCAAAGCAUGGUAUCCUUCGAACAAAUCUCCUAUCCCAUCCCUAAGACCAUCAUCGUUUGACAUCUCAUGUACGGGAAAUGACUGGUACAAGAGUAGCAAGGGCCUAAACAGACUCUCCUUUGAAUUAUCUUUGAUCUCAUCUUUCUUUCUUGGUUGGUAUCCUACUCUACGCUUAAAUGAUCUUUCCGAGACCAUAAUAGGAUCAAUAAUUCCUUCCGAAUUCUUACUCAAGGCAGCCACAACUUUCUCUAUCAUUUCCACUCUUUCUGUCUUUUUGGAGUUUCGUGAAUCCACAUUAGCAAUUAUCUCGCUAGAUACCCAUUCGUCUGCUAUUUCGAUCAUGCUAACCGCGGCUCCCUCGUGAUUAGGCAAUGGGUUACUAGCAAUAUUUAGUGCCGGUGCCUGAAGAGUGAUGAUCUUCUGGUCAAUCAAGUCCUGGAUCUUGUGUUUCAGAUUGAUGCAAUCUUUAGUAUUAUGCCCGGGAGCUCCUGAAUGAUAAGCACAGACUUGAUCGGCAUAAAAGAAUCGAGAAUUGAGAUUGGUAGUCUUUGGUGGAAUAGGCUAUAAAUAAUCGGCCUUCAUCAAUCUUCUGAAGAGAUGGGUACGACUUUCAGCCAAUGGAGUGAAUUUUCUGGGAGGCUUCUUCUCGAGGCUUACACGUGGGUAGUUAUACUGAUUUUGAUUAGCAGGAGGAGGUACUUGAUGAUAGUUUGGAAGCGCUUGGACAUUUAUUUGAUUUUUUGGAAGAAUAUCUUGAAAAUGAGAUUGAUAAUUUGGCUGCGGAAUUUCACACUGGGAUAAAAUAUUUGAAAUUGGAGCUUGAUAUUGGGGAUGAACAUAGAAUACAGGCUGAAAAUUUGGUGUCAGUGGUGAGGAAAGAAUAUUUCUAGGCUUGAAUUUCCUCUUCAAUUUAUCAACAAAAUCAGUAGAGACUGCAAUCACAUCCUUUCUUUUCUUCUUUGAGAAUGCAGAAGAUUCAGAUGAUGUUGGGGUUUUGGCAAUUUUUCCUAUUCGGAUGCCUUCCUUUACUAAAUCUGCGAAAGUUUCUCGGACCGUGGAUACCAACCUGGUAUAAUAUUCUCCCUCUUGAGCAUGAGAGAACACAGACACCAUUUCUUUCUUAGAUAUGGGAGGUUGUACUUUGGCAACUUCUUUUCUCCAACGGAAGGCAUAGUCUCAGAAACACUUAUCAUUACUCUGCUUGAUCCGAUCUAAUGAAUAUCGGUCAGGGACUAUUUCAAUGUUGAAUGCAAACCUAUUAAGUAAACUUUUGGCCAAUGUCCUCCAACUAGUCCAUUUUUUCAGUUUUUGAGAUGUGAACCAAUCUAAGGCUUCGCCACUUAAGCUUCGGCUGAAUAAGUGCAUCAAUAAUGGCUCAUUUUUCCCUACUCCCACCAUUUGAUCACAAUACCUUCUCAGAUGGGCCAUUGGAUUUUCGAUGCCAUCGAAUACUUCAAAUUUAGGGACCUUAUACCCUUCUAGUAGAUCUACUCUAGGGUGAACACAUAAAUAACCCGUAGUUAUUCCACGCUCGAAAAGAUUCCUUGAUCCUCAUGAACUUUUCAUUCAUAGUGAACAACUUUAUUUCAUGCUCAGUCCUCCACUCUUUCUCCUUCUCCUCGUAAUGGUCCACCUCGGGAUUAGGAAUGGAAUUAUAGAUGUCAGGGGAUAUGAUGACAUGGGAAGGAUUUGGAAAGGCGGCUUGAUUUUGUUGAUGAAAGAAAGUUGGGUGGUGGGUGGGAAGAACAUUUUGGAAACUGGAAAAGUUUUGUGGAAUUUGAGAGUAGCUUGGUGGGAUUUGGGAUGGAUUCUGUGGAUUCAGAAAUGAAGUUUGUGGGUUUGGAGAUAGAUUUGGAAGAUUUGGUAGAUCUGGGGAUGGAUUUGUGGAUUUACCAAUGGGUUCUGGGGAUUUGGGAAUGAAUUUUGUAGAUUCAGAAAAGGAUUUUUUGGGGCGGGGGCUGGAUUUUGUGGAUGGUAAGCAUCUGGGUUAUUUUCACGAUUGGUAUUUUGGACAAGUGGAGGGGUAGAGACGGAUGAUAUGUUAUUUGGCUGAUCCCCAAGAAUAGGCGUACUGAGGGGAGGGAUUUGGAGGGAGCCCCGUGUCCUCCCGGAGCGGGAGCAUUGACGGUGAUGGCCAAGUUAGACAAAUCCCGAGUGCGAUUUAUUUCUUCCCAAAGCAUUUCUAACUUUCAUGCAAUUUCCGCAAUCAUCUCAUUCUAUUCCACUAUUACAUUGUCUCUGAUGGUCAAUGUGUUUUCUUCAUCAUUUCCAGUCAUUAUUGAAUGAUGGUCAGAGGAUGGGAUUUUAUAUGCUUUUGACCGGGUGAAGUAGGGAUGUUCUGCCAGCUUAUAUUAACACGGAGUACUUUGUAUUAUCUGUUAAGUAAAACAACUCAAAGGCAGAUGUGUUAGUUUCCGUAUGUGGUAAGUAAUGCAAAAUAUUUGACAAGAAAUAACCACGUAGCGUUGUUUGAGUCAUAGACAAAUUCAUCGGAUAAACUUGCCUUUGAUCCAAACAAACACACAUAAGCGCAUAAGACAAUUAUAUUACACAAAAUAAUAUGAUAAUGCGUAUCCUAACUGGAGUGACCCUUUUUUGAGCCAAGGGUUCAGGCCUAACAAUUUUUUAAGAAAAUAUAUGCUUCCCUAAAGUCAAUCCAUUAUCCCCCAGCUUAUAUAGACACGAAAAAGGCAUAAAUGCUUACAAACGAUAACAAAAGAGGGAUACAAUCUUUAGGGAAAAAGAAAAAUAAUAUGAAAGAAGAUAAGCUCCUAUGCAGGGGAUACUAAUUACUGAAUGCUUCUUCUUUUGGCCUUCGCGCUCUUAGAUUCGUCCUCUCCUCAUUAUUGGCAAUAUCCAUUAAUGAUAUAGCGAUUUUCGUAUAACUGUGGCAUAAAUGCCAUGCAACUGUCCAAAUCGAUCAAUUUCUUGCUUGACUUGUUUCAAUUACUUCGUCAAUCAGUGUACUAUUGAGACAUCCUUAUACAAAAGUGAGUAAAGAAAGUCUUUUCCCGACCCCCAAAGGAUAAUGGAUUGAAUUAGACAGGCAUACAUUUUCUUCAACACAUAAAUAUGGUUCGUUGUUAAUUGACUCGGGGUCAAUAGACAUAGGGUAGGUUUUCUAAUGGGCCCAAUAACCCGCUCGGGUAUUGGGUCGUCCUAGGCUCAUGCCUAAAAUAGGGUUUUGGUUUCGUUCUAUCCUAGGUGUCUAGAGUGGGUUUGAACACUGGUUCUCAAGCGGAAAACUUGAGUUUGAAAAUACGAACAGCCAUCAGACGACUUACGUGCUAAUAAGCCAUUCGUAUUUCCAACACAUUUUUGGAAUUGAACAACAGGGGCCGGGACAUCCACGAAACCCCAAAAUAGUUUAAAUGAUGUAGGAAUAUGCCAUGAGAUGCGAUAAUUAAACUCUAAAGAAUCGAAACACAUAAAAACAUAAACAGUUAAUCAAAAGACAAAAUCAAACAUUUGGUUAGAACCUAGUUAGAGAUCCCUAGCAGAGUCGCCAUUUUUGUUUUGCGGAGAAAUUUUGACUUUUGAAAGAGAGUCGCCACUUAAUUUUGAAAAGGAAUUAAGAAAACCUUUAUAAAAUACUUUAACGAUUCAAAACAGGAAAAUCGUUCAAGUUUAGAGAAUUCCGGGUAAGUGGUUCCUAUUAAUGUUUUAGGAAGGUGUUAGGCACCUAAAACAUCCGCUAACUUGAGGUUAUCCGGACUGUUUGAAAAUCGUCUUUAAUUAACUUCAAAAAGUGAUUGAUUUUUGGAAAGAAAGCGAUUUUGAAAAUAUUUUGGUGUUUAUACAAAACUAGUUUUUUAGCAACUUAACUAAGGAUU
rnacentral:lncRNA from 1 species